rnacentral:rRNA from 1 species
GUAGGGAAUCUUCGGCAAUGGACGAAAGUCUGACCGAGCAACGCCGCGUGAGUGAAGAAGGUUUUCGGAUCGUAAAACUCUGUUGGUAGAGAAGAACGUUGGUGAGAGUGGAAAGCUCAUCAAGUGACGGUAACUACCCAGAAAGGGACGGCUAACUACGUGCCAGCAGCCGCGGUAAUACGUAGGUCCCGAGCGUUGUCCGGAUUUAUUGGGCGUAAAGCGAGCGCAGGUGGUUUAUUAAGUCUGGUGUAAAAGGCAGUGGCUCAACCAUUGUAUGCAUUGGAAACUGGUAGACUUGAGUGCAGGAGAGGAGAGUGGAAUUCCAUGUGUAGCGGUGAAAUGCGUAGAUAUAUGGAGGAACACCGGUGGCGAAAGCGGCUCUCUGGCCUGUAACUGACACUGAGGCUCGAAAGCGUGGGGAGCAAACAGGAUUAGAAACCCUAGUAGUCC